GUGUAUUGCGAUGAUGAUAUAUGUUAAUCCCAGCUCAUUAUGAGACCUCCUCUUUUGUGAGAAGGUCAGGGGAAAAUACUCUAUCAUUACAUGUAUUUGAGCUUCGU